CCUACGGGAGGCAGCAGUGAGGAAUAUUGGUCAAUGGGCGUAAGCCUGAACCAGCCAAGUCGCGUGAGGGAUGAAGGUUCUAUGGAUCGUAAACCUCUUUUAUAAGGGAAUAAAGUGCGGGACGUGUCCCGUUUUGUAUGUACCUUAUGAAUAAGGAUCGGCUAACUCCGUGCCAGCAGCCGCGGUAAUACGGAGGAUCCGAGCGUUAUCCGGAUUUACUGGGUGUAAAGGGGGCGCAGACGGCAGCGCAAGCCAGGAGUGAAAGCCCGGGGCCCAACCCCGGGACUGCUCUUGGAACUGCGCGGCUGGAGUGCAGGAGGGGCAGGCGGAAUUCCUGGUGUAGCGGUGAAAUGCGUAGAUAUCACACAGAACACCGAUUGCGAAGGCAUCUCACGAAUCCGCGAUUGACGCUGAUGCACGAAAGCGUGGGUAUCAAACAGGAUUAGAUACCCCUGUAGUC
rnacentral:rRNA from 1 species